AUUGAACGCUGGCGGCAGGCCUAACACAUGCAAGUCGAACGGCAGCACAGAAGAGCUUGCUCUUUGGGUGGCGAGUGGCGGACGGGUGAGUAACACGUAGGAAUCUACCCAGUAGUGGGGGAUAACCUGGGGAAACCCAGGCUAAUACCGCAUACGCCCUGAGGGGGAAAGCGGGGGAUCUUCGGACCUCGCGCUAUUGGAUGAGCCUGCGUCGGAUUAGCUAGUUGGUGGGGUAAGGGCCCACCAAGGCGACGAUCCGUAGCUGGUCUGAGAGGAUGACCAGUCACACCGGAACUGAGACACGGUCCGGACUCCUACGGGAGGCAGCAGUGGGAAUAUGGACAAGUGGGCGCAAGCCUGAUCCAGCCAUGCCGCGUGGGUAGAAG
rnacentral:rRNA from 1 species